rnacentral:lncRNA from 1 species
UUUUUUCUACUGGGAGCUAAGGGAAUUAUGUGGUUCCUUAAUUAUAUGGCGUCACAAUUUCUUCUUUCUUGUGCUAAUGAUAUAAUUUGUUGGGAUAGGUUAGACAUUUUCCCUUCCAGCCUUUUCAUUGACUCCUCAUGCUUUUCGUUCAACGAAAUUCUAUAACUUGUUAACAUUCAUUAAUUUGCUUUGUGUUGUUAACAUAAAU